rnacentral:rRNA from 1 species
UACGGAGGGUGCAAGCGUUAAUCGGAAUCACUGGGCGUAAAGGGCGCGUAGGCGGCCUAGCAAGUCUGGUGUGAAAGCCCAGGGCUCAACCCUGGAAGGGCACUGGAAACUGUUAGGCUUGAGUUCCGGAGAGGAGGGGGGAAUUCCAGGUGUAGCGGUGAAAUGCGUAGAUAUCGGGAGGAAUACCGGUGGCGAAGGCGCCCCUCUGGACGGAAACUGACGCUGAGGCGUGAAAGCGUGGGGAGCAAACAGG